GGAUGUGAGGGUCAUCUGGCUGAGACAUCUGUCACCCGAUUGAUGGCCAGGGUUGAUUUGGCUGAUCUGGCCGGCUAGGUGGGUGUCCCCUUUCUCACAGCUCCAUGUGCAUCUCUCCUGAGGCUGCUUGGUCAAAAAGGAUGGCCUUCCCUGAUAGAGGAGGAUCAUUUUUCAGUCAAGGGUAUAUAAGUCUUUGUGCUCUCCGGCUAGGACCUCCCAACAAGAUAUAUGUGUAUGUAAAUUAAUAUGUAUAUAUUUUAUUAUAUAUGUAUAAUUUACCUAU
rnacentral:snRNA from 10 species